AAAUGAAUAGACGGGGGCCCGCACAAGCGGCGGAGCAUGUGGCUUAAUUCGACGCAACGCGAAGAACCUUACCAAGGCUUGACAUACACCGGAAAGCAUCAGAGAUGGUGCCCCCCUUGUGGUCGGUGUACAGGUGGUGCAUGGCUGUCGUCAGCUCGUGUCGUGAGAUGUUGGGUUAAGUCCCGCAACGAGCGCAACCCUUGUUCUGUGUUGCCAGCGUGCCUUUCGGGGUGACGGGGACUCACAGGAGACUGCCGGGGUCAACUCGGAGGAAGGUGGGGACGACGUCAAGUCAUCAUGCCCCUUAUGUCUUGGGCUGCACACGUGCUACAAUGGCCGGUACAAUGAGCUGCGAUGCCGUGAGGUGGAGCGAAUCUCAAAAAGCCGGUCUCAGUUCGGAUUGGGGUCUGCAACUCGACCCCAUGAAGUCGGAGUCGCUAGUAAUCGCAGAUCAGCAUUGCUGCGGUGAAUACGUUCCCGGGCCUUGUACACACCGCCCGU
rnacentral:rRNA from 1 species